GGGCUGAACGGACCGCGAUCUGUAGACGCGGAGGGGAUGCGGGAGCCGGAGGGCUUCAGGAGUAAGAGCUGAUGAAUUGGUAGCUUUUCACAUGAGCCUUGUUUUUUUUUCUUCUUUUUUUUUUUUAAAGAGGACUUUCCCCCAUGCAGCGUUGCCAGUUCGCUCUCAGCAAAAGCAUUAUUGAAAGAUUCGCUACUGUGCCUGUGGCAGCUAGCAGCCUCCAAGUUCAUUCAGUCUCCAGAUCUCCAUGAAGCCCAGGAGGAAGCGUGCUGUGGAGAAUCAGGAGCAGAGGGAGGUGUCCACAAGGAGUAUUGAUGGUGUUGUUCCUGAACAGAUUGUCCUGACCCUCUCUGAACAGGACCUCUUAACAACAUGGCAGACAAUGAAAGGUUGCAAUCUCAUCCCUUGAUCCCCCCGCACGCAGACUGCAAUGGCUCGUAAUUCCCUCUGUCUGUAUUCUUCAGGUUGGUUUAACUCAGGCUGCCUCGAUAGCGCCAUUUAAAUUACAGGCUUAAAGAGGCCAUGUAGUCAAGAUAACACCUAAUUUGAGGAGACCUUUUUCUAAAACUGCCUGUGUCUUUAUUGCACCCUUUCAUCUUGAUGCUUAGUUUUACAAACCGUUUGAUACAGCAGGUUUUUCAAGUCACGUCUUUGAAGUAAAAUGAUUUCCCUGCC